rnacentral:rRNA from 1 species
CCUACGGGUGGCAGCAGUGAGGAAUAUUGGUCAAUGGGCGCGAGCCUGAACCAGCCAAGUAGCGUGAAGGAUGACUGCCCUACGGGUUGUAAACUUCUUUUGUAAAGGAAUAAAGUGAGGCACGUGUGCCGUUUUGUAUGUACUUUAUGAAUAAGGAUCGGCUAACUCCGUGCCAGCAGCCGCGGUAAUACGGAGGAUCCGAGCGUUAUCCGGAUUUAUUGGGUUUAAAGGGUGCGUAGGUGGGUUGAUAAGUCAGUGGUGAAAGAUUGAGGCUCAACCUUAAAAUUGCAGUUGAUACUGGCAGUCUAGAGAACAGUUGAGGUAGGCGGAAUGCGUGGUGUAGCGGUGAAAUGCUUAGAUAUCACGAAGAACACCGAUUGCGAAGGCAGCUUACUAAACUGCCACUGACAUUGAUGCUCGAAAGUGUGGGUAUCAAACAGGAUUAGAUACCCCUGUAGUC